UAAUUAACAUGGUCUUUGCCUGGUCAAAUCACUUUUCAAUCCCAAAUACGUUGCUUUGUAGACAUAACAUCAAAACAUUCAUGGAGAUAAAAAAAAGUUGCAUUCUUUCAUUUUUAUUCAUCCUCAUUUUUCUCAUAAUCUCUUUCCUUUAUGUCCUCUCAUUCGUUUGCUACAGUUCUUGACUUCGUUUUGCUCAAAUACCUUUUAAAAGAAAUUUAUUACGCAUAUAUUCCUUCAAUCUACCUCACUCCUAAAUUCUAAUUAUUCUUUAAAAAAAAAAAAACUAAUGUGAUUAUAAAAUUUUCCCUCUCCAAAAAGUGAAGAUAUGAAAAACUCCAAAUAAAAUGCAACCAACUAACAUUCAAACAACAACAAAUAUUCCCACCAAAAUGAGUGUUACUUCACUUUUUUCCUCUCAAAGCAGAGCAUCAUCAACCUUCUUCUUCCGCCUCCUCUCUCUCUCCUCCUUUCAUGCUUCCUUUUCCUACCAUUCUCAUUCUCUCUCCUUUGACCAACUUCCAGUUUCACCCAACGAUGUCAACGACAUCUCUCGUGUUCUCAGCGACUUCCGUGCACCUCACCACGACAUCGAAUCUGCACUCUCCCCAUUUUCUUCAAAACUUUCCACAAAUUUGGUUGAACAAGUCUUGAAAAGAACCAAAAAUCUGGGUUUUUCUGCUCAUAGAUUCUUUCUUUGGGCUAAAAAAUUUCCGGGUUUUCAACCUAAUGUUACUAGCUACAAGAUUCUUAUUGAUGUUCUGGGUACUAGCAAGCAAUUUCCUUUGAUUUGGGAUUUGCUUUCUGAGAUGAAAUCAAUUGAGAAUUUUGAAUUGUGCCCAGAAAUUUUCUGGGUUAUAUUUGGUGCUUAUUGUAGAGCUAAUUUACCAAUUGAUGCAAUUCGGGCUUUUAAUCGAAUGGAUGAGUUCGGAAUUAGGCCGAAUUUGAAUGAUGUUGAUCACCUUUUGUAUUUGUUGUGUAGGAAGAAAUUUGUUAAGGAUGCGCGAGAGUUUUUUGAUGAGGUGAAGUGUGAAUUUGAUCCAAGUGUGAAGAGUUAUACGAUUUUGAUCCGGGGUUUGGGCGAUAUUGGUGAUUCGGGGGAAGCACGAAAGGUGUUUGAUGAAAUGCUUGAAAGAGGGUGUGUGGUUGAUGUUCCUGCUUAUAAUAGUUUGUUGGAGGCUUUGUGUAAUGGAGGAGAUUUAGAUGAGGCGUAUGCUAUGUUUAGAGAUAUGGGGUCCAAGGGACUUGCUCCUGAUGCUUGUACUUAUUCGAUAUUUAUUCGUUCUUAUUGCAAAAGAGACAAUAUUCACUCGAUUUUUAGGGUUCUUGAUAGAAUGAAGAAAUAUAAUUUGGUGCCUAAUGUGUAUACUUAUAAUUGUAUUGUAAAGAAGUUGUGUGCGAGUGAGAAGGUUGAAGAGGCUUACCAUGUUUUGGAUGAGAUGAUAGAAGCCGGGGUGAGUCCUGACACAUGGAGCUAUAAUACAAUCAUGGCUUUCCAUUGUGAUCAUAAUGAGGUUAAUCGAGCUCUCAAGUUGCUUUCUAGAAUGGACAAGGAGAAGUGUGAGCCUGAUCACCAUACAUACAAUAUGUUGCUUAAAAUGUUAAUUAGGAUUGGGAGAUUUGAUAGGGUUGAAGCGGUGUGGGAUAGCAUGCCGCGAAGAGGCUUUUAUCCUUCAGUUUCGACUUAUGCUGUAAUGAUCCAUGGUUUUCUUAAGAAGAAAGGCAAGCUGGAUGAGGCAUGUAAAUACUUUGAGAUAAUGAUCGACGAAGGAAUUCCUCCUUAUUCUUCAACAAUUGAGCUAUUACGAAAUAGGCUUGUGGGAUGGGGAAUUCUGGAGAAGAUAGAGAUACUGGCUGAUAAGAUGGAGGCCAGUAGUUCUUCAUCAAUAAAAGAACUAUCAAAAGCAAUGAGAGGACGUAGGUCUCAUCAAAGGAGGCGGAGGGAAGAUGACAGCUCAGAAUUUAGUGAAGAGGAAUGGCCCUUUAUGCGAGAUGCUACAUGAUUGCUUGGUUGAGUUCUGAAUCGCUUGAGUUUGCAGCUGGUUUUGAAGAGCAACCUUGGCCUUUGCUCAUUUAUCAUGGCACAAGGAGAGCCUGUCACUUCUCACAUAGAACCUGUACCGGCUAAUGCCACACCUAGGAGAUCCAGGAUCCUUCUUGCUGUAGUGGAAGUGUUCCUGCGAUCAAGUUUGGGAACCUCUACCGUUACUUUUCUGAAUGGGCCGAUGUAAAAGAAGUGGCUACAAAUCUGCCUUCAUUUUGUUGGCAGCAGGAUAGUUCCAGAGUAUGUGAUUGUAUACUGAUGAGGGUGAAUGGUCUAGUAAGAUGAGUGACACUUUUCUGCAUAUUAACGGCGUAAUGGACUGGCCUCAUGGUUGUUUCUCCUCUAUCAGCAAAUACUCUCAGCAAGAUUAAAAGACCGAAGAAGAUGUUGGAAGUAAGAUUGUAUAUGGCCUAGUGUAUAUAGCUGAAAGGGUAUGAACCAUGCAGUAUUCGGAAAUGGGUCCUUUGAAUUAGGUUCGGUUCGAGUGGUAUUCAACUGAUGAGUCAAUUGGUUUGAUCAGCUUGAACACCUUCAUGUAGAACAAUCCAUUACAGAGAAGCAUCUUUCUUCAUUUGCUGAGCUCGGCAUUACUCUGAUUCCUCUAGUUACAAAGAAGCUGGCAAUGGAGCUAUGGCCUACACCUGAACGGCUGAACCAUGUUGGAGUCCAAUUGGUAGAUGGUGGACUCGUGUCUACCAUUAGAAUGGUAGACACGGACCAAAACGCAACCCAAAAAAUAUAAAACACGUGAAACUAAUAGACAUUAACUGCCCUUCAAUGAACAUGUGAAACUAAUGUACAUUAACGGUUCUCCAAUGAACAUCGAUCUCGACGACUCUUCUUUGUUAACCUUUAUUUUUAUGUUUCUUUGUUUGUUUAUUGCAGAUAUUUCUUUGUUCA